rnacentral:rRNA from 1 species
UAAGCAUAUCAAUAAGCGGAGGAAAAGAAACCAACAGGGAUUGCCCUAGUAACGGCGAGUGAAGCGGCAACAGCUCAAAUUUGAAAUCUGGCCUCGGCCCGAGUUGUAAUUUGCAGAGGAUGUUUCUGGCGCGGUGCCUUCCGAGUUCCCUGGAACGGGACGCCAAAGAGGGUGAGAGCCCCGUAUGGUCGGACACCAAGCCUGUGUGAAACUCCUUCGACGAGUCGAGUAGUUUGGGAAUGCUGCUCUAAAUGGGAGGUAAAUCUCUUCUAAAGCUAAAUACCGGCCAGAGACCGAUAGCGCACAAGUAGAGUGAUCGAAAGAUGAAAAGCACCUUGAAAAGGGGGUUAAAUAGUACGUGAAAUUGUUGAAAGGGAAGCACUUAUGACCAGACUUGGGCCGGGCGGCUCAUCAGGGGUUCUCCCCUGUGCACUCCGCCCGGCACAGGCCAGCAUCGGUUCUCGUGGGGGGAUAAGACCGUCAGGAACGUAGCACCCUCCGGGGUGUGUUAUAGCCUGGCGGACGAUACCCUCGUGGGGACCGAGGUUCGCGCUCCGCAAGGAUGCUGGCGUAAUGGUCAUCAGUGACCCGUC